rnacentral:misc_RNA from 1 species
CCAAACUUGGUCAUUUAGAGGAAGUAAAAGUCGUAACAAGGUUUCCGUAGGUGAACCUGCGGAAGGAUCAUUAGAGGCUAAUAGUGUCCUUAUUUAUAAGGUCAUACCUCUCAAUCGUGUCUACAAUACCUAUUGUUGCUUCCCAGAAGUAAAUUCUGGGGUGUUUUCAUUAAAUGGCAGUUGCGACCGACCUCGCGUCAAAAUUGGCAAGUACGACCCAAAAUUUCAUUUUUGGCAAGUACGACCCAGAUUCUGUCCAGGCAAUGAAUAACAACCUUCUAUUAAAGAAAUGUCUAAAAUAUAUCAAAAUGAAUAAUUAAAAACUUUCAACAACGGAUCUCUUGGUUCUGGCAUCGAUGAAGAACGCAGC